CACGUAGGGCGCAAGCGUUGUCCGGAAUUAUUGGGCGUAAAGAGCUCGUAGGCGGCUUGUCGCGUCGGCUGUGAAAACCUGGGGCUCAACCCCGGGCCUGCAGCCGAUACGGGCAAGCUAGAAUUCGGUAGGGGAGAGUGGAAUUCCUGGUGUAGCGGUGAAAUGCGCAGAUAUCAGGAGGAACACCGGUGGCGAAGGCGGGUCUCUGGGCCGAUAUUGACGCUGAGGAGCGAAAGCGUGGGGAGCGAACAGG
rnacentral:rRNA from 1 species